CGUAGCCGAUGGACAACAGGUUAAUAUUCCUGUACUGCAGUAUAACAGAACUGUGGGGACACGUAAGGAGAGCGGGAGCCGGGAAUGGAAAGCCCGGUACAAGCGAGGUACCAGUAUGGUAGGAAAAACCGCCAUGCAAUGGGAAGACGUGAUGUGGAGUGAAAUAUAGUAACGAAGCCCGUGAGCCAUGCGUCAAGAAAAGCCGCUAUUGUUUAUAUUGUACCCGUACCUUAAACCGACACAGGUGGAUGAGGAGAGAAUCCUAAGGCCGGCGGAAGAAGUAUUGCCAAGGAACUCGGCAAAAUGGCCCCGUAACUUAGGGAGAAGGGGUGCCUGCGAGAGCAGGCCGCAGAGAAUAGGCUCAAGCAACUGUUUAGCAAAAACACAGGUCUAUGCGAAACCGAAAGGUGAGGUAUAUGGGCUGACGCCUGCCCGGUGCUGGAAGGUUAAGAGGAGAGGUUAGACGCAAGUCGAAGCUUUGAAUUUAAGCCCCAGUAAACGGCGGCCGUAACAAUAACGGUCCUAAGGUAGCGAAAUUCCUUGUCGGGUAAGUUCCGACCCGCACGAAAGGCGUAAUGAUUUGAGCGCUGUCUCGGCAAUACAUCCGGUGAAAUUGAAGUGCCAGUGAAGAUGCUGGCUACCCGCGCCAGGACGGAAAGACCCCAUGGAGCUUUACUCCAGUUUGGCACUGGGGUCCGGUGUUGCAUGUACAGGAUAGGUGGGAGGCUGAGAGAUAGUGACGUCAGUUGCUAUGGAGCCGCUGUUGGGAUACCACCCUUGUGAUAUUGGGCUUCUAACCAGCCGCCGUGAUCCGGCGGUGGGACAAUGCCAGGCGGGGAGUUUGACUGGGGCGGUCGCCUCCGAAAGGGUAUCGGAGGCGCCCAAAGGUUCCCUCAGAAUGGACGGAAACCAUUCGAAGAGUGCAAAGGCAGAAGGGAGCUUGACUGCGACACCGACGGGUGGAGCAGGUACGAAAGUAGGGCUUAGUGAUCCGGUGGUAUUAAGUGGGAAUGCCAUCGCUCAACGGAUAAAAGCUACCCUGGGAUAACAGGCUUAUCACUCCCAAGAGUUCACAUCGACGGAGUGGUUUGGCACCUCGAUGUCGGCUCAUCGCAUCCUGGGGCUGUAGUAGGUCCCAAGGGUUGGGCUGUUCGCCCAUUAAAGCGGUACGCGAGCUGGGUUCAGAACGUCGCGAGACAGUUCGGUCCCUAUCCGGCGUGGGCGCAGGAUAUCUGAGAGGAGCUGUCCUUAGUACGAGAGGACCGGGAUGGACGGACCGCUGGUGGACCGGUUGGCUUGCCAAAGCCAUGGCCGGGUAGCCAAGUCCGGAAGGGAUAAACGCUGAAGGCAUCUAAGCGUGAAGCCCCCCUCAAGAUGAGAUAUCCCAUUCUUAGUGAAGUAAACCCCCUUGAAGACGACGAGGUAGAUAGGGCAGAGGUGGAAGUGUGGUAACACAUGGAGCUGACUGUUACUAAUCGGGUGAGGGCUUGACCU
rnacentral:rRNA from 1 species